CAUUUUUAAAAUGUGCUUUUUAAAUUACCAGUUUCUGCUGUCUUUUUAUGUGUCUUCCACUCCCUGGCAUUUUAAAAUUAUAUGUUACUGCUGGGUAUGGUUUUUAACUCCUUUUUAUAAAUGCUUUUGUGUUUCUCAUUGUUCAGUUCUGUUAAUUUUAUUUUGUUGCAAUAUUAUAUAAUGCAGCACCUAAUAAAUUUUGUAAGUGAAUAAUUAAACGUGACUUACUAGGUUUAUAGAUGGCCCCGUUCUCACAUUUCAAAAUCCAUAUCUGCCUACACAUUUCCCUCAACUUCACAACAACCCUGUGAGGUAGUCAUAUAUUAAGCGGUAUGCAAAUGAAAUAAUCAAUUAUUCUCUUUUGACAGCUGGGGAACUGAGGUGGAGAGUGAAUUGCCGAAGGCCGUGCCAAUGAAACUGUGUCUGAACUAGGAUUUGACAAACAAAGUCUCCUCCAGGCAGCAUGUUAUCUACUGACAAUAAUUCAAGGUGGAAAAAAAUAUUCUGUGCUAAACAGAAAAGAUACGAAAGAAACUUGCAUCAGAUUAAGAUUGCAGCUAUUUGCCCUAUUUUUAUUUUUAAUCUAGUGCUGCAGUUGAGUUUUCAAAGCUCUAAUUACCUGGAUAUACUUUACUGCCUUUUACAAAUUCUAAUUUUUGCACAACCCAAUGGAGCAGCUUCUUCAGGAGGAGGAAGAUGACCUAUUUACAUUUCCCCCCUUCAUUGAAACGCAGUCUGAAGGUUUGUUUACCUCAUUGCAUAGCUUGCUUUAACUUCAGUUCUGUUUACACAAUCCAAAUACAGUGGUACCUCGGGUUACAUGCGCUUCAGGUUACAUGCGCUUCAGGUUACAGACUCCGCUAACCCAGAAAUAGUGCUUCAGGUUAAGAACUUUGCUUCAGGUUGAGAACAGAAAUCAUGCAGCAGCAGUGCAGCGGCAGCAGGAGGCCUCAUUAGCUAAAGUGGUGCUUCAGGUUAAGAACAGUUUCAGGUUCAGAACGGACCUCCGGAACGAAUUAAGUACUUAACCCGAGGUACCACUGUAUAAAUUCAGGGGUUCCAAAGAAUCUAAAGAGAGGUGGUGGCAGCAGUGGGGACUGUCUUGACAGCAGCAAUGCGUUCAGUGGUGCCAUUGGGGUAGGACUUUGGGGACAGAAGACCAGGUCCCCACUUAGAAGCAAUAGCAGAAGCCACCCCCGCAAACACAGCAGUGGUGGAUUGCAACAUUUUGAAGUGGACCCGGAGUAAAACCACUAAGUCCAGAGUCUAAAGUAACCUAACUGUACCACUUGAUGUGUUUCUGACAUGACUCAUUUCUUGUGCAAAAAGGAAGGAAAAAACACAUGUUUAACUCCUAGCGAUCGGUUUCUAAGAAUUGAGAUAUGGGUUGGGGGUGGUCUCAAGCCUGCCUGAAAGUUUAACCUGCAAACUCUACCUUCUACUUAACCCCAGGGGUCUAGGAAUUAGGUUGGUCCAAUGGAUUUAUUAGAUGGUCCACUGGGGUGGGGCAGGACAUUAUUAGUAUUAUUACAUUGUCCUAGGGCAGGCUACAAGUAAAACAACAUUAAAAUCAAAACACUAUUACACAAUAUAUAUAUAUUUAAGUUUUAAACAACUUAACAUUACAGAAAUAAGGCGGAUCCUUAAAAUAUACAUCUUGAAAACCAGGAUGAACACCUGCAUCUUCAUAUUCCAUGAAAACUACAAUAAAGGUGCACGUCACACCUGUGUGUGUAUUGCGGUGGGGGGGGGGGAAUUCCACAACUUAAGGGCUGCCACAAAGAAUGCCCUUUCCUGCCUCCCCCGACCACCCCCAAAUUUCAUUAGUUUAUUACUCCUUCAGAUAUUAGGGGUGUAUCUUAUUUCUGUAUGCUUGCCAGUGACCCUUUGCAUUUGGGUUGUGACAUUGUUGACUGUGAGUGGUUUAUAGAAUUGUAGAGUUGGAAGGGACCAUGAGGGUCAUCUAGUCCAACCCCUGCAAUGCAGGAAUCUUUUUGCCCAGCGUGGGGCUCAAACCAUUGACCCUGAGAUUAAGAGUCUCAUGCUCAACCGGCUGAGCUACCUUGUUGCGUGUCUUUAUGUAUGAGUGGCUGAUAGAUGUAAUGUUUGAGGUUGUGAAUGGUUGUUGUGGGUAUGUGGAAUGGAUGGUGAGCGAGAUUGGAUGAAUGAUGGUGUGUUAUUUGAAAUUUUAUGUUAAAUUUCUCUGUAGUGCUCUCCAAUUUAUUAUUAUGUUUAUGGAUAUUUCUAUGUAUUUUGUUAGGUGAACUAUUUGAUAUGGUUUUGUUGUGCUUAUUAUGUAAACCGCUUAGAGAUCCUUUUGAAUAGUAAAGUGGUCAAUAAAUGGAAAUAGUGAUGAUAAUAAUAAUCAAACAGGCAAGCAUGUAUUUCUAGGAACCUCCCAAUGGGGCAAAAUUACACACUUCCUACCCCUGGGGCUCUGUGCCCUCACUAGAGCACUCCCUCCUUCAGCCACAAAGACAAAAAGGGCAACAAAAGGGGGUGUCCCUCUCAGUGUAACCCCAAAGAGUGCUCUGUAGUGGUUGGAUUUAAAAACAAUUACAGGAAAUGUCAUCAGCAACCCACUAUUUUACCCUUCCUGCAUCAGGAGAAUUGUCAGGCGACAAACAGUUUUAAGCUGAUGAUUGUGACGUUUGCUCCCAGUUGGACUUAUCAAGUUUUCAACAGAUUUUUAAAUUGGAUAUUUUUAUCUGUAUGAUUUUUUUUUAAACCAAUUUAUUACCUACCCAAGCUUUAGGGAUGAGGUGGUGGUAGAGAUAAAUAGAUCAAUAAUGAAAGGGAUUUGCGGAGGGCAAGGCAGAAAGAGAUUCUGGAUUCCUGAGAUUCAACCCAGAAGCUUGAAAAAGGUCACAUCAAAAUUGAAAGAUCAAUUUGCUCCAUGGCACCUUCAUCAGUUAUUCAUGAGGCCGGGUGGCAGACACUUAGUAUUCACAAUUUGAGACAUAUCCUUAGACUGGAACAGCCUAUUUAAAUAGUAAAAUUAACUUUUGGGGAAUAUUCCACACAGGUACAACACAGACGAAAUAGCAGGGCAUCUUCGUAAACUUCCGCCUGCUCAGUAUUCAACACUCA
rnacentral:lncRNA from 1 species